CCUACGGGUGGCAGCAGUGAGGAAUAUUGGUCAAUGGGCUUACGCCUGAACCAGCCAAGUCGCGUGAGGGAAGACUGCCCUAUGGGUUGUAAACCUCUUUUGUCAGGGAGCAACGCCGGCUACGUGUAGCCGGACUGAGAGUACCUGAAGACAAAGCAUCGGCUAACUCCGUGCCAGCAGCCGCGGUAAUACGGAGGAUGCGAGCGUUAUCCGGAUUUAUUGGGGGAAAAGGGCGUGUAGGCGGGGCGCAAGUCAGAUGUGAAAACUCAGGGCUCAACCCUGAGCCUGCAUUUGAAACGGUGUUUCUUGAGUGCUGGAGAGGCAAUCGGAAUUCCGUGUGUAGCGGUGAAAUGCGUAGAUAUACGGAGGAACACCAGUGGCGAAGGCGGAUUGCUGGACAGUAACUGACGCUGAGGCGCGAAAGCGUGGGGAGCAAACAGGAUUAGAUACCCCUGUAGUC
rnacentral:rRNA from 1 species